rnacentral:snRNA from 1 species
AAACAGCACAGAAAAAAUUAGCAUGGCCCCUGCAUAGGAAUGAUAUGGAAAUCUAUGAAAUGUUCCAUAUUUCU